rfam:alpha proteobacterium HTCC2255 scf_1100007007381 genomic scaffold, whole genome shotgun sequence.
CGACUUUAAAAAAAAAAAAUUACACGUUAUAAGAUAAAUGUCUCUUUAGGGACUAUGGUAAUAAACGCGCAUGUAAUAAGCGGAUCGGACCCGGGGGCGGUACCCGGCGACUCCACCAUAAUCCAUCAUUUGUGGAGUUUGGGGUCGAAAUAGGAUCGACGGACGUCUAAAGAUGUUAGCUUUUGCCCGGUGCGGUGUCGCUGUUAUCGACCCAUUUAAGCUAGUUGCAAAUGACAACAAAGCACCGAUGGCUUUGGCUGCGUAAGCGGUCCGAAAUAUUGGAACCUUAAGUCUUAGGCCUGCGGUCUAAGCGGGGUCCGGAGGUACCUGGCAACAGAAACCUCCACU